AUUGAACGCUGGCGGCAGGCUUAACACAUGCAAGUCGAGCGGGGUGAUGGUGCUUGCACUAUCACUUAGCGGCGGACGGGUGAGUAAUGCUUAGGAAUCUGCCUAUUAGUGGGGGACAACAUCUCGAAAGGGAUGCUAAUACCGCAUACGUCCUACGGGAGAAAGCAGGGGAUCACUUGUGACCUUGCGCUAAUAGAUGAGCUUAAGUCGGAUUAGCUAGUUGGUGGGGUAAAGGCCUACCAAGGCGACGAUCUGUAGCGGGUCUGAGAGGAUGAUCCGCCGCACUGGGACUGAGACACGGCCCAGACUCCUACGGGAGGCAGCAGUGGGGAAUAUUGGACAAUGGGGGGAACCCUGAUCCAGCCAUGCCGCGUGUGUGAAGAAGGCCUUAUGGUUGUAAAGCACUUUAAGCGAGGAGGAGGCUCUUUUGGUUAAUACCCAAGAUGAGUGGACGUUACUCGCAGAAUAAGCACCGGCUAACUCUGUGCCAGCCGCCGCAGUAA
rnacentral:rRNA from 1 species